CAAUUGAUUAAUAUUAUUGAUCCUCAUAUGAGAAGACUAUAAAUAUUGGUUUGUGGGUUUUUGUUUUUUAGCCAUGGAUUAUAACUUAGUCGACAAUGAGUCGUUUAUUGCACGCAUCAAACAAUUGGAGCACGGUGCACAUGCUCAUCAAUUCAACUGUUUUAAGAAUUAUCUUUUAUACGCUACAAAAUAUUUUUCCCUGGAUUGAUUGUUUGUGUGUAUCAUUGGAACAAGAAGAAUAUUUUGUGCUAUACCCUACUUGUUUGAAUUCUUUGGACUUCUGAGACAAAGUUUCAAUGGGCCUGUGAUGUAUAAGUUGAUUAUGUGUUUACUACUGGCAAAGUUCAUAAUCAGGCACUAAGUUAUGAGGAGGAGAAUUCAGGAUUUAAAUGUACUUGACAUUUUGUGGUUAGGGGACAUAUUGAGAAUACAAAUCGUAAUUAGGAUUAUUGUGAAUGUUCUUUCCUAAUUCAACAAUGUGGCUGCAUUUUAGCAUUUGCUUAUGCUGUCACAAAGUUUACAGUAGCCAGGGUCUUGGUUGUUUAUCUGUUAUUUUAUUGAUUUUUAUAUAGAACGUGAUCAGUUGCAUAAAGAUAUUGAACAGUUGUGCGUGCAGCAAGCUGGAUCUGCUUAUCUUGGUGUUGCCACUAGAAUGCAUUUCCAGAUGUGGACAACUGGAUUGGAGCAAGAGAUUGAAAACCUGAAAAAGAAGUUGGCUACUUGCACAAGAGAAAAUCAAAAUCUUCAAUAAGAGCUAUCAAAGGCUUAUAUAUUGAAGCGGCGAUACGGAUAUCGGGACAGUAUACCAAUCGAGUUGAUUUUGACGUACAUAGUUCUGCAGCAGUUGAGAAUCUCGGCAUCUUUUGGAGUUGAGCCUUGAUUUUGGAGUCGUAGCCACACGACAGAGUUUGCUAGUAUGACUCACUUCAUAGAACAUGUAGUCAAUAUUUUGGGACGCAUGUUCAUGUCUAGACGUGAUUUUGCAUCAGUUGUAGAUAGUUAUGGGGCUCACUAUGUAUUAUAUAUCCAUAUGUAUAUUUCAUUGUAGUUCUUAGUAAAAGUGAAGAUUUCAGUUUA